CCCUUAGAUGUUCUGGGCCGCACGCGCGCUACACUGACGAAUGCAACGAGCUUAUAACCUUGGCUGAAAGGCCUGGGUAAUCUUUGAACGUGAAUCGUGCUGGGGAUAGAUGAUUGCAAUUAUUCAUCUUCAACGAGGAAUUCCUAGUAAACGCAAGUCAUCAGCUUGCAUUGAUUACGUCCCUGCCCUUUGUACACACCGCCCGUCGCACCUACCGAUUGAAUGGUCCGGUGAAAUCUUCGGAUCUGAGAGAUGUUGGAUUAAUUUCUGACGCCUUUUGGAAAAGUCGCUUAAACCUUAUCAUUUAGAGGAAGGUGAAGUCGUAACA
rnacentral:rRNA from 1 species